rnacentral:rRNA from 2 species
UGGACUAUAAGUCCACUAAAGAGCCGUUCGAGACUAGGACGUUGAUAGGUCAGGUGUGUAAGCGUUGUGAGGCGUUGAGCUAACUGAUACUAAUGACUCGAGAGGCUUAACCAUACAACCCAGAUGGGUUUUG